UUCGCAAUGCCCGAAAGGGUGACGAUGCGACGCCGCGUGAGCGAAGAAGGCCUUAGGGUUGUAAAGCUCUGUCGAGGGUUAUGAAAUAUAGAUGGGUUAAUACCCCAUUUAUUUGACAAAAGCCCAAAAGGAAGCCACGGCUAACUCUGUGCCAGCAGCCGCGGUAAUACAGAGGUGGCGAGCGUUGUUCGGUAUUAUUGGGCGUAAAGAGCACGUAGGUGGUUUUGUAAGUCAGGUGUGAAAGCCUUCUGUUCAAAGGAAGAACGGCAUCUGAAACUGCAGAUCUUGAGUGUAGGAGGGGAGAGUGGAACUUCUGGUGGAGCGGUGAAAUGCGUAGAUAUCAGAAGGAACGUCGGCGGCGAAAGCGACUCUCUGGCCUAUUACUGACACUGAGGUGCGAAAGUUAGGGGAGCAAACGGGAUUAGAUACCCCGGUAGUCCUAACUGUAAACGAUGGGCACUAAGUAGAGGGGUUUU
rnacentral:rRNA from 1 species